AAGAAUCAUUUUUUGUAUCUAGAUGUGAAAAAUGUGAUUUGCCAGCACAUCAUGCACGUUAAUAGUUGCGUU